rnacentral:rRNA from 1 species
AUGGCGGCGAGCAGCUUCAUGGGGUCGUCGUCGCGGCUCCGCGUCGGCCUCCUCCCGUCCGUGACCCCGCGCCUCGGCCGCCGCGCACUCGCCGCCCGCGCCUCCGCGGACGGCGGCGGCGGCCCGGUCCGCGUCCGCUUCGCGCCGUCGCCCACCGGCAACCUCCACGUCGGGGGCGCCCGCACCGCGCUCUUCAACUACCUCUUCGCGCGCUCCAGGGGCGGCAAGUUCGUCCUCCGCGUCGAGGACACCGACCUCGAGCGCUCCACCAAGAAGUCCGAGGAGGCCGUCCUCAGCGACCUCUCCUGGCUCGGCCUCGACUGGGACGAAGGCCCGGACAUUGGUGGCGAUUUCGGCCCUUACCGCCAGUCUGAGCGCAAUGCUCUGUACAAAGAGCAUGCCCAGAAGCUAAUGGAGUCUGGUGCUGUUUAUCGCUGCUUCUGCUCUAGUGAGGAACUUGAGAAAAUGAAGGUAACUGCGAAUCAGAUGAAGAUUCCUCCUGUAUACAUGGGGAAGUGGGCUACUGCUUCAGAUGCAGAAGUUCAACAAGAGUUAGAGAAAGGCACACCUUAUACUUACCGUUUCCGAGUGCCAAAGGAAGGUUCACUGAAAAUUAACGACCUUAUUCGUGGUGAGGUCAGUUGGAAUCUAAACACACUUGGUGAUUUCGUGAUCAUGAGAAGCAAUGGCCAGCCAGUGUAUAACUUCUGUGUUACGGUUGAUGAUGCUACCAUGCGCAUCUCUCACGUUAUCAGAGCUGAGGAGCACCUACCAAACACAUUACGGCAAGCCCUCAUUUAUAAAGCUCUUGGAUUUGCAAUGCCUUUAUUUGCCCAUGUCUCACUCAUUCUGGCUCCUGAUAAAAGUAAACUCUCUAAACGUCAUGGGGCUACUUCUGUGGGGCAGUAUAAAGAGAUGGGCUAUCUGCCUCAGGCAAUGGUCAAUUAUUUAGCACUCUUGGGCUGGGGUGAUGGCACUGAAAAUGAGUUCUUCACCAUUGAUGACUUGGUUGAGAAGUUCACUAUCAAUCGCGUCAAUAAAAGUGGAGCAGUCUUUGACGCAACAAAAUUGAAAUGGAUGAAUGGACAGCAUCUACGGUCACUUCCUUCUGAUUUGCUCAUCAAGGACUUCGAAGAUCGAUGGAGGAGCACAGGCAUUCUUCUGGAGUCUGAAAGUGGUUUUGCUAAAGAAGCUGCUGAGCUUUUGAAGGAGGGCAUUGACUUGAUAACAGAUGCGGAUGCUGCCCUUUGCAAAUUAUUGUCGUAUCCCCUUCAUGACACUUUAAGCAGUGAUGAAGCUAAAUCUGUGGUGGAAGACAAACUUUCUGAGGUUGCAUCGGGUCUCAUUGCUGCUUAUGAUAGUGGUGAGCUUGGUCAAGCACUAGCUGAAGGCCAUGAUGGUUGGAAGAAGUGGGUGAAAUCUUUUGGCAAGACUCACAAAAGGAAGGGAAAGUCGCUAUUUAUGCCACUCCGAGUGCUGUUGACCGGGAAGCUUCACGGACCUGCCAUGGACAGUACCGUAAUCCUCGUUCACAAAGCAGGCACCUCUGGUGCGGUGGCCCCUCACUCUGGUUUCGUGAGUAUCGCUGAAAGGUUCAAGAUCCUGAAAGAGGUGGACUGGGAGUCACUGCAGAAACAACAAGAGUCCCCGGUUGAAUCUGCCGUUCCCGCGGCUUCGUAA